AGACAGCAGCCGAGACAGCAGCUGAGACGGCAGCGGCAGCUUCUCAGGGCCGGAGCCAGUUCUUGGAGGAGAGUCUGCACAGGGCAUGGAUCACUGUGGUGCCCUUUUCCUGUGCCUGUGCCUUCUGACUUUGCAGAAUGCAACAGCAGAGACAUGGGAAGAACUCCUGCGCUACAUGGAGAAUAUGCAGGUGUCCAGGGGCCGGAGCUCAGUUUUUUCCUCUCGUCAACUCCACCAGCUGGAGCAGAUGCUACUGAACACCAGCUUCCCAGGCUACAACCUGACCUUGCAGACACCCACCAUCCAGUCUCUGGCCUUCAAGCUGAGCUGUGACUUCUCUGGCCUCUCGCUGACCAGUGCCACUCUGAAGCGGGUGCCCCAGGCAGGAGGUCAGCAUGCCCGGGGUCAGCACGCCAUGCAGUUCCCCGCCGAGCUGACCCGGGAUGCCUGCAAGACCCACCCCAGGGAGCUGCGGCUCAUCUGUAUCUACUUCUCCAACACCCACUUUUUCAAGGAUGAAAACAACUCAUCUCUGCUGAAUAACUACGUCCUGGGGGCUCAGCUGAGUCAUGGGCACGUGAACAACCUCAGGGAUCCGGUGAACAUCAGCUUCUGGCACAACCAAAGCCUGGUACUGCUGGGGGCGCCCCCGUUUCCACUGCACCCCUGCCCCUCUGUGACUCUCCUGUUGAACACUGGUUUGACUAGACCCAAACAUGUGGAACCAUCUUGGAAAUCCAUCACACUUUGAAAAUUCCUGCUCAAGAAAUAAGAGAGAGAGAAGUUUUUACUCACGCAUUUGUCAGAAUUCUUUCAGUUGCAAGUAAGAAAAGACCACUUCAAGCCAGCUUGAGCACAGAGGGAACUGAUUGGCACACAUCAAUGAAAUGUCUAGAGGUGAUCCACCAGCUUCAGACAUGGCUGAAUCCAGGGAUGGAUCUGAUGCCCUCGUGGCUCAGUCUCUCUCCGUCUCAGCAAUGGUCUCCUGCCUUGGCUGUCCAUUCUGUGGCAUGAUGGAUGCUGGAGAGCCAGACUUCCUUUCCCUCUUCCCAUCAGGCUCUUCCCCCCACUCCCCACCCCCAACCUGCCCCAGUGCAGAUCAGGGUCUCAGGAUCUUAAAGGUUCAGCUGGGUCACAUGUCCAUCCCUGCACCUGUCACUGUGCCCAGGGGGAUGGAAUGUGUGGAUUGGCCAGGCCUGGGUCACACGGCCCAGGGACUGGGGUGAAGGAGUGAGCUCCUAGGGGAAGUGCAGAUGCUGAUCCUGGAACAGAGACAGGGCUGCUUGUUGGGGGUGGGGGCAGAGUGGGGUGGUUCACAAGCCUCAGUGCCUCCAUUUCUGGUUCCUGGCAUUCCUGAAAAGCCCGGAGCCUCUGCUUUCUGGCUUCAUCUUCCCUUCAGCUUCACCAGGACUGCCCUGCACUCUAAAUUUCACCAUCAUCCUUUCCUUUCAGCUCUGGGCUUUUGCCACUACGGUUCCCUCCACCUGGAAUGCCCUUGCCCUACUCGUGUUGAAAUCCAACACGUCCUCUAAAGGUUCAGGGCCCCCACCUCCCCUUCUCCCUUUGGGUCAGCUCUGCCUACCCUCCAUGGUUUUCCGUGACUACCUGUGUCAUUUCCUCCACUUCUCCACCCACGUGGCUUGGCGUUAGGGUUGUCUGUGGAUGAGUCUCCCCCAACCAGGCAUGGGUCUGAGCACGUUGCUGUUCCCCAUAGGGAGGAAGGGAAGGGAUCAGCUGGUUAUGGAGCGCCUACCGUAUAAAAGGCCAGAGCUGGACACUCAAGAUUCCGUGUUGCCCUUCGUUUUUCCACCAUUGUUGUAACAUGGGUACGAAUGAUCCUAUUCUGUAGAUGACUAAACUGAGGCUCAGAGCAACUUGGCGUCUUGCCUGGGUCACUCUGAGAGCCCACAGUGGAGGUGGGACAGGAAUCUGAGACUGUCUGAGGCCAAAGGCCAGCCAGUGCCUGGUAAAAUGUUGGCAAAUGUGCAGUUGAGUCACUGUUGGCCCCCAGGACUCCCAGACACUGAUCCGCAGCCUUUCCUCUGCACCCUAUGACUGACCCCAGCAUCUCCACCCAGGAAGGCUACACCCUGACCUGUGUCUUCUGGAAGGAGGGAGCCAGGAAACAGCCCUGGGGGGGCUGGAGCCCUGAGGGCUGUCGUACAGAGCAACCCUCCCGCUCUCAGGUGCUCUGCCGCUGCAACCACCUCACCUACUUUGCUGUUCUCAUGCAACUCUCCCCAGCCCUGGUCCCUGCAGAGUUGCUGGCACCUCUAACGUACAUCUCCCUCGUGGGCUGCAGCAUCUCCAUCGUGGCCUCGCUGAUCACAGUCCUGCUGCACUUCCAUUUCAGGAAGCAGAGUGACUCCUUAACACGCAUCCACAUGAACCUGCAUGCCUCCGUGCUGCUCCUGAACAUCGCCUUCCUGCUGAGCCCCGCAUUCGCAAUGUCUCCUGUGCCCGGGUCAGUAUGCACAGCUCUGGCCGCUGCCCUGCACUACGCGCUGCUCAGCUGCCUCACCUGGAUGGCCAUCGAGGGCUUCAACCUCUACCUCCUCCUCGGGCGUGUCUACAACAUCUACAUCCGCAGAUAUGUGUUCAAGCUUGGUGUGCUAGGCUGGGGGGCCCCAGCCCUCCUGGUGCUGCUUUCCCUCUCUGUCAAGAGCUCGGUAUACGGACCCUGCACGAUCCCCGUCUUCGACAGCUGGGAGAAUGGCACAGCCUUCCAGAACAUGUCCAUAUGCUGGGUGCGGAGCCCCGUGGUGCACAGUGUCCUGGUCAUGGGCUAUGGCGGCCUCACGUCCCUCUUCAACCUGGUGGUGCUGGCCUGGGCGCUGUGGACCCUGCGCAGGCUGCGGGAGCGGGCGGAUGCACCGAGUGCCAGGGCCUGCCAUGACACUGUCACUGUGCUGGGCCUCACCGUGCUGCUGGGAACCACCUGGGCCUUGGCCUUCUUUUCUUUUGGCGUCUUCCUGCUGCCCCAGCUGUUCCUCUUCACCAUCUUAAACUCGCUCUACGGUUUCUUCCUUUUCCUGUGGUUCUGCUCCCAGCGGUGCCGCUCAGAAGCAGAGGCCAAGGCACAGAUAGAGGCCUUCAGCUCCUCCCAAACAACACAGUAGUCCGGGCCUCCUGGCCUGGAACCCUCAGCCUCUCUGGCUGCCAGUAGUCUGAGGCUACGGCUCCCGCUAGAGAGGGUCGCAGGCCUGCUGCUGGACCCCAGAGGCCACUGUGACCGCCAAGGGGCCUUUCCCACUUCCACGGCCUCUCCAGGCACUGAGGGGAAGGCAUUGCUCUACCUCUCCCUGACAUUUUGCUCCGGGGCAGAUCCAACCUUACCUGGGGCAGCAAACUUUGUCCUGGUACCUGGGCCCAGCUCGCCAGGGAUGUGGGCAGAGCACCAGCCUGGGCAUCAGGAGGCCAAGUUUCAAGGACUGUCUCUGAGUCUGUCUGUAUGACCUUGGGCCUGCCACUUCUCACAGACCCUAGGUAUCCACAGCUGUGACAUGGGGGCAAGCGGCUUUGUUUCAGCCUAACCCAAGAGCUUAGUAAAAAUUGCAUAAGACCAGGGGGAAGAGUGUCAGCGUGGGGUGGGAAUUCCCGCGGCCUCCACCUGCUUGCUAGGGGCAGGAUCUCAUCCAGGCUGCCCUGGAAGCACCUGCUUGGCCCUGCCACCUUCCUCCAGUGGAGGGCCAGAUGGCAUCCUGGCUUGGGGCGGGUGGGACCUACCCAGGCUCUGAGACUUUACUGGCCUAUGCCUGAGGCCUCUUUUCCUUUAACUCCCUAAAUUAUGAUGACUCCAAGUCCAAGCCCAUCCUUCCCAAAGAUUGGGAGGUUCCGCCGUUCCCAGAGGCUCCUCCUGCGGUGCUCCCAAGACUUCCAUAGACCAUCUGGACCAGUAGCCCAUCCCACAGUUUUCUUGGGGGCAGAGGAAAACGCUUCUUUCUCCUCCAGCUGAAUCAGCUGGAUCCCAGUGUCCUGGCUGUUUGGUGAUUGGGCAAGAUUGAAUUUGCCCAGGUAGGCAUGAGAGUGUGGGUUUUAAAUUCGAAGCUCAGGCCGUAGUUGCAGAGAAUCACCCUUACCCCAGACCUUCAUGAGACAGUGCUCAUGAAGCCAGUGCGUUUCCCAGAACGAACACUAGGCGGCACUGUUGGUCCACACUCAGAGGCCCUUGGCGCCAAGACUGCAUCUAGAAUCGCUCAAACACCUGUUUGCAGACCCCAUGCACCAGCUGGAGGGGCCGUAACUGCAGGACUGCGCCUACUGAGUGACCCAUUUCCUCCAGGAGGAAAGGCAAGACACGCUUACACGGCCAUUUGUCUCUUUUCCCAAUGCGGCGGUGCACUUUCGCUCUUGGGGGCUGCACCCCAGACAUAGCUGGCACCAGAGCAGGGUGCUCAGGUGGUAGGUGCUCAGGGCCCUGCCCCAGGCCACUGGGCCGUUUUGAUGACCUCGAAGGUCACAGGCAGAAAAUAGGAGCAGGAUUUCCCCUGGGGAAAAGUUCUCCUGGGACAUCUUCUGCUCUUCUGUACAUUUCUAGAUGCAAAUAACUCCUUCACCAGGCAGUGAGUGGCGUAGGCUCUGGAGCCGGGCUGCCUGGGCUCCAAUGCCAGCUCUGCCACUUGCUAGCUGUGAGACUGUGGACAAACCACUCAGCCUCUGUGUGCCUCAGUUUUCCUAUUUGUAAAAUAGAGGCCAUAGUGGUACCUAUUUUGAAGACUAAGUAAAAGAAUUCAAAUAAAGAGACUUGGCACAGAGUAAGUGCUCAGU
rnacentral:sRNA from 1 species